ensembl:lncRNA
GGAGGGGUGGAGGGACUGGGAGGGGUGGAGGGACUGGGAGGGGUGGAGGGACUGGGGAGGGUGGAGGGACUGGGAGAGGUGGAGGGACUGGGAGGGGUGGAGAGGACUGGGGGGGGGGUGGAGGGACUGGGAGAGGUGGAGGGACUGGGAGAGGUGGAGGGACUGGGGAGGGUGGAGGGACUGGGGAGGGUGGAGGGACUGGGAGGGGUGGAGAGGACUGGGGGUCACAUGAUAAAAGAGGUCACAUGAUGAAAGGUUAGAUCUUAGUGUGGAGGUUAGAGGUCACAUGAUGAAAGGUUAGAUCUUAGUGUGGGGGUUAGAGGUCACAUGAUGAAAGGUUAUAUCUUAGUGUGGGGGUUAGAGGUCACAUGAUGAAAGGUUAGAUCUUAGUGUGGGGGUUAGAGGUCACAUGAUGAAAGGUUAGAUCUUAGUGUGGGGGUUAGAGGUCACAUGAUGAAAGGUUAGAGCUUAGUGUGGGGGUUAGAGAUCACAUGAUGAAAGGUUAGAUCUUAGUGUGGGGGUUAGAGGUCACAUGAUGAAAGGUUAGAGCUUAGUGUGGGGG